rnacentral:rRNA from 1 species
UCCUACGGGAGGCAGCAGUGGGGAAUAUUGCACAAUGGGGGAAACCCUGAUGCAGCGACGCCGCGUGAGUGAGGAAGUAUUUCGGUAUGUAAAGCUCUAUCAGCAGGGAAGAAAAUGACGGUACCUGACUAAGAAGCCCCGGCUAACUACGUGCCAGCAGCCGCGGUAAUACGUAGGGGGCAAGCGUUAUCCGGAUUUACUGGGUGUAAAGGGAGAGUAGACGGAGGAGCAAGUCUGAUGUGAAAGCCCGGGGCUCAACCCCGGGACUGCAUUUGGAACUGGGUGGCUAGAGGGUCGGUGAGGCA